AAAAACCUUUUGGUCUUAUCUUCUUGAGAAACCAUGAAAGAGUUCAAAUGAGGAAGAGCAGAGACCUUGUUGGAGAAGGGCCAGUGUAUCCCUGAACCCUUGCUAAAUCCUAUCUCUUUGUACCCAUCAGAAUUAACCUCUUCCUUAACCACAGGCAAUGACUCCUUCGAGUUCAGACCCAUAAAAUCUCUCUCCAUUUUACCUCUCCUGCCUCUCAAAAACGAAUAGAAACACAAAAUUCAACUAAAACCCACCUCAAAAAACUAGUUCAAAAAUCAUAAAUUCACGGAUCAAUCUCUCCACUCCUCUACCAAACCUCAGUUUACAGAGAGGAAACUAGAGAGAGAGAAACCAAAACGAAAGCUUCCAACUACAGCAAAAGGCAGACAGAGAG
rnacentral:misc_RNA from 1 species